AGUCGAACGGCAGCAUGACCUAGCUUGCUAGGUUGAUGGCGAGUGGCGAACGGGUGAGUAAUGCAUCGGAACGUAUCCAAGAGUGGGGGAUAACGCAGCGAAAGUUGUGCUAAUACCGCAUACGCCCUGAGGGGGAAAGUGGGGGACCGUAAGGCCUCACGCUGAUGGAGCGGCCGAUGUCAGAUUAGCUAGUUGGUGGGGUAAAGGCCCACCAAGGCGACGAUCUGUAGCUGGUCUGAGAGGAUGAUCAGCCACACUGGGACUGAGACACGGCCCAGACUCCUACGGGAGGCAGCAGUGGGGAAUUUUGGACAAUGGGGGCAACCCUGAUCCAGCCAUGCCGCGUGAGUGAAGAAGGCCUUCGGGUUGUAAAGCUCUUUCGCGAGGGAAGAAAACUUAUCUAUUAAUACUAGGUGAGGAUGACGGUACCUUGAUAAGAAGCACCGGCUAACUACGUGCCAGCAGCCGCGGUAAUACGUAGGGUGCGAGCGUUAAUCGGAAUUACUGGGCGUAAAGCGUGCGCAGGCGGUUUCGUAAGUCAGAUGUGAAAGCCCCGGGCUUAACCUGGGAACUGCGUUUGAAACUGCGAGGCUAGAGUGUGUCAGAGGGGGGUAGAAUUCCACGUGUAGCAGUGAAAUGCGUAGAGAUGUGGAGGAACACCGAUGGCGAAGGCAGCCCCCUGGGAUAACACUGACGCUCAUGCACGAAAGCGUGGGGAGCAAAACAGGAUUAGA
rnacentral:rRNA from 1 species